UACUAUAGUCUGCAUGAGGAAAUGGCUAGU
rnacentral:piRNA from 1 species